AUUGAACGCUGGCGUCAGUCCUAACACAUGCAAGUCGAGCGGAUGAGUGGAGCUUGCUCCAUGAUUCAGCGGCGGACGGGUGAGUAAUGCCUAGGAAUCUGCCUGGUAGUGGGGGACAACGUUUCGAAAUGAACGCUAAUACCGCAUACGUCCUAUGGGAGAAAGUGGGGGAUCUUCGGACCUCACGCUAUCAGAUGAGCCUAGGUCGGAUUAGCUAGUUGGUGAGGUAAAGGCUCACCAAGGCGAAGAUCCGUAACGAGUCUGAGAGGAUGAGCAGGAACACUGGAACUAUGACACGGUCCAGACUCCUACGGUAGGCAGCAGUGGGGAAUAUUGGACAAUGGGCGAAAGCCUGAUCCAGCCAUGACGCGUGUGUGAAGAAGGUCUUCGGGUUGUAAAGCACUUUAAGUUGGGAGGAAGGGCAGUAAGUUAAUACCUUGCUGUUUUGACGUUACCAACAGAAUAAGCACCGGCUAACUUCGUGCCAGCAGCCGCGGUAACAC
rnacentral:rRNA from 1 species